UUUCCAGAGGCUGCCUGAUGGGUGAGAUGCCAGUAGAUUGAAGCUAGAAGCAAAUAUGAGACUCCAGCUCUUCUAAGAUGUGGUGCCCGGACCAGCAACCCCAGAGCGUGUGAGAAAUGCAGAUGCCCAGGCCCCUCCCCGGACCUAUUGACUGAGAAGCUCUGCAGGAGGGGCCAGCAAUCAGCGUUUGAGAUGCCCUGCAGGUGAUGCUCAUGCUCACAGAAGCCAUCCCUCAUCAUUUCUCCAAGGGGAGCAAAACACAUGGCCAUCCCGAGUCCUCUGAAUGCAAGUCUGUCUCAGGCGGUCGCGGCUUCAGCUCUGGGUUGAGGACCUGUCAGUCUGCUUCGGCUGCCAUAACAAAACCACAGGCUGGUGGCUCACACAGCAGAAAUUCAUUUUCCCACCGUACUCAAGGAGAGACGUCUGAGAUCGAGGUGUCGGCAAAGAGGGCCCAUCUGAAGUCACUGGUGACAGGAGCAGGAGCAGGAACUACGAUUAGCUAGACAGACUCUCUGGUGGUGCCUCCUCUCCUCUCCAGCCUGUAGACUGCUGCCCCAGGCUGCGGGAGGGUAUCAGCUGGGACGUUGUUUAGCUUUACAUGUGGCUGGUUUCAUGCAUGAGCGACCUGUGCAGCUGCAGUUAGAAGGGUCCCACGCUUGGUGUAUUGCUCUGUUGACAAAGUCUUAAAAUUCUUAAUAAUUUCUUAACAAAGGACAGUGCAUUUUCAUUUUGCAUUGGGCUGGGCAAAUUAUGUAGCCAGCUCUGGCUCUAGUACCCAUUUGGAUAUUUGCCUCUUCAAAUAAACAGGAAUGAAAUUUACCUGUGAUUACAUACAGGCCCAGGAGUGUGCUUUUCUAGAACUGUCCCCUGCCAAACUGUUCCUUCUCUUGAAUAUCCAUCUGUUGAGUCCACUAUAAGUUCCAGAAACCUGGCUGGGUCUCCAAAGAGAACCCUGCUGAGUUGAAUUUGACCUCAGCAGCGUUGCCAACAGGAACUUUCAUGUUGUUACAGGUGUGGCAAGACUUCUGUCCUGCCUGAUGUCAGCCAGUGGUGUAUAGAGAAGCUCCUGACCCUACCUGGUGGGGGGCCUGGGUUCCCCAGAAUGCUUUCUUCCAGCAUGGAUAAAGGACAGAUGAAAGGGGGUCAGAGAAGGUUAGAAAAAUACAUCAAUCAGAAAUCAAUAGUGAUUUCUCGAAAGUGAACUUCUACCACUGAGUGCUGCU